rnacentral:rRNA from 1 species
CAGCAGCCGCGGGAAUACAGAGGGUGCGAGCGUUAAUCGGAUUUACUCGGCGUAAAGCGUGCGUAGGCGGCUUCUUAAGUCGGAUGUGAAAUCCCUGAGCUUAACUUAGGAAUUGCAUUCGAUACUGGGAAGCUAGAGUAUGGGAGAGGAUGGUAGAAUUCCAGGUGUAGCGGUGAAAUGCGUAGAGAUCUGGAGGAAUACCGAUGGCGAAGGCAGCCAUCUGGCCUAAUACUGACGCUGAGGUACGAAAGCAUGGGGAGCAAACAGGAUUAGAGACCCCGGUAGUCCCUGUCUCUUAUAC